CCUACGGCGGGCUGCAGUGGGGAAUAUUGGACAAUGGGGGGAACCCUGAUCCAGCCAUGCCGCGUGUGUGAAGAAGGCCCUCGGGUUGUAAAGCACUUUCAGUGAGGAAGAACGCCUGGUGGUUAAUACCCAUCAGGAAAGACAUCACUCACAGAAGAAGCACCGGCUAACUCCGUGCCAGCAGCCGCGGUAAUACGGAGGGUGCGAGCGUUAAUCGGAAUUACUGGGCGUAAAGCGCGCGUAGGUGGCUUGAUAAGCCGGUUGUGAAAGCCCCGGGCUCAACCUGGGAACGGCAUCCGGAACUGUCAAGCUAGAGUGCAGGAGAGGAAGGUAGAAUUCCCGGUGUAGCGGUGAAAUGCGUAGAGAUCGGGAGGAAUACCAGUGGCGAAGGCGGCCUUCUGGACUGACACUGACACUGAGGUGCGAAAGCGUGGGUAGCAAACAGGAUUAGAUACCCCUGUAGUC
rnacentral:rRNA from 1 species